AUUCCUGCUUUUGCAAUCUGGGAGGAACAACAAAAGGAGUCUCUCUGUGCCUCUGUCCCUCAGAUGGGGGUGCACGGGCUUCCACCAGCAAAACAUUUCCAUGUGGCUCUCGAUGGGCAGGGGACUCAGCGGCCAGCAUGGACCUGCUUUUCUAAAACUUGGGUCUGAGUCCAGGUCCAGCCCCUUCUUUGCUAUGUGGACUUUGAGGAGCAAUUGAAUCUCUGUGUCUUGUUACCAUUCAGCCAGCUGUCCACCAAUUCAGAGCGUGUUCACUGAGCACCUGCUACGUGCUGGCCUUGGGUUAAGUGCUGGAGAUAUCAAUGUGCCCUCCUGGAGCGUGUGGACCAGAGAGACAGAAUUAAACCACUAACAACAAAUAAGAGUGAGGGCUGUGGUCUCAGAGGCCUUGCAGUGGACACAUGGACAGAAAGUCCAGUCCUGGGGAGUCAAUGACACGCAAGAUAAAUCUCUGAGCAGCAAGGACAGUCAAGAUGCAAGCGUCGCUCCUUGGACUCUGAAACCUGUGUCAUUUCCUCCCUGCUUUGCAGUGCUGCCCACACAACAGCUGUUGGGUGCCGGGAAUUAGGAAUCCGGAUUCAGAGCCUGCCCAUGUGUGGCCGAGGCGACGGGCCUUCCCAGGUGUGGUGCCACAUGCCCAGAAGGCUGCUCUACAGAGGGAGGAGAACGGGGCUGGUUGCAGGGGGAAGCCGAGUUGUCUCCCCAGCAAACACUCCCAGGCACCCCUUCCUGCUUUCGAAGAGAACCUCCAUUUUCUUUGGGAAGCCCCCCUUCCCCAUAGGAUGGUGGCGAUCCCCUUUACCUCGCCAGUGAUCCACUCGGCACCUGACUCAGCUGUGGCCAAAGCGGCACGGGCCAGGGCUAGAGGAGCUUCUGGAGGGCUCCUAAGAAAGAGACGCCUGGGAAAAGCAGCCCUCUCUAGGAUUAGAUGCAGCCCUGUCUUCAUGUGUGGGCCACCGUGAUGCCAGGAAAGGAGCACUCGCCACAGAGCCAGCGAUGGAGGUGAGUGGGAAGGAAAGACGGGAUAGACCAGAUGCCGGAACACGACGGAGCCUCCAGAGAAGGCCACUGGGGCAUCCUACGUCAGGACCCGCUGUGAUGUGGGAAAACAUACUUUUCUCAUUGUGUGGGCAAGAGAGAAGACAGCAAGGCAUACAAAUGAUCUGCAAACAUUAUUGAGCACCUACUAUGUGCCAACUAUUGUUUUAGGCUCUGGGGACAUAAGAAUGAAUAACCCUGAGAAGGUGGCCAUAGUAAUGUUUGUGCCAUAUCACGCUAUCUUGUGGUUUAUUUUAUGUUUCUGCUAUGCUAGAUAGGGAGGGGAGCGGGAAGACAGAGCUAUGUCUUGAUUAUCUUGGUAUCUGCAGUAUGUAGUCCAGCUCAACAGGCAUUUGUUGAAUGACUGAAUGACUAUUUACAGAGGGCACACUAUGGGCCAGGAACCUGUCUGGGGUCUUAGAUAUGGCCAUGAACAAGAUGGAUGCAGCCCUUGCCUUCUUGGAGCUCAUAUUUGGCAGGGGGUCGCCAAGAUAUAUGCUGCACAGUACAUGAUGAGCACAAGGAGUGUUUCCUAGAGAAAGUACUGGAUGUUUUGCCUCAACAGUCCACAUCAGUGUGCAGGUAAUUAGCAUUACUCGGGGCACUGAAGGAAGGGUUGUCACAAUGACAACAAAGCAGUACCCAUUGAGAGGCAGGAGGGCGUGGUCUGAACUCCAGCUUGGCCAAUGGCCACUGUUGGAACUUGGCAAGAUUCUCCUUGCUGGUGCCAUGAAGUCCGCGGCCAUGUUGAGGAAGCCCUGAGGGCAAAGAACCAUGGGAAGCUUCUAGAAUCUGAGGGUGGCCUCUGGGUGACAGUCAACAAAAUGCCAGGGACCUGCUCAGAUAGCCACAAGGAAAUGAAUUCUGACCACAACCUGAGGGAGCAUAGCAGUGGGUUGUUCCCCAGUAGAGCCUCCAGAUGAGAACACAGCCUAGCCAAUGUCACAAGGAUUGCAGCCUUGUGAGACUCGGAGCAGAGGACCCAUUUAAGCAUUCCUGGACUCCUGGACCUAAACUGAGAAAUAAUAAAUGUAUAUUGCUGGAGGCCA
rnacentral:lncRNA from 1 species